rnacentral:rRNA from 1 species
AGUGAACGCUGGCGGUAGGCCUAACACAUGCAAGUCGAACGGCAGCACAGCAAGAGCUUGCUCUUACGGGUGGCGAGUGGCGGACGGGUGAGGAAUACAUCGGAAUCUACUUUUUCGUGGGGGAUAACGUAGGGAAACUUACGCUAAUACCGCAUACGACCUACGGGUGAAAGCAGGGGAUCUUCGGACCUUGCGCGAUUGAAUGAGCCGAUGUCGGAUUAGCUAGUUGGCGGGGUAAAGGCCCACCAAGGCGACGAUCCGUAGCUGGUCUGAGAGGAUGAUCAGCCACACUGGAACUGAGACACGGUCCAGACUCCUACGGGAGGCAGCAGUGGGGAAUAUUGGACAGUGGGCGCAAGCCUGAUCCAGCCAUACCGCGUGGGUGAAGAAGGCCUUCGGGUUGUAAAGCCCUUUUGUUGGGAAAGAAAAGCAGCAGGUUAAUACCCCGCUGUUCUGACGGUACCCAAAGAAUAAGCACCGGCUAACUUCGU